rnacentral:rRNA from 1 species
CCUACGGGAGGCAGCAGUGGGGGAUAUUGCACAAUGGGGGAAACCCUGAUGCAGCGACGCCGCGUGGGUGAAGAAGCGCCUCGGCGCGUAAAGCCCUGUCAGCAGGGAAGAAAAUGACGGUACCUGAAGAAGAAGCCCCGGCUAACUACGUGCCAGCAGCCGCGGUAAUACGUAGGGGGCAAGCGUUAUCCGGAUUUACUGGGUGUAAAGGGGGCGCAGACGGCGAUGCAAGCCAGGAGUGAGAGCCCGGGGCCCAACCCCGGGACUGCUCUUGGAACUGCGUGGCUAGAGUGCAGGAGGGGCAGGCGGAAUGCGUGGUGUAGCGGUGAAAUGCGUAGAUAUCAGGAGGAACACCGGUGGCGAAGGCGGCCUGCUGGACUGCAACUGACGUUGAGGCCCGAAAGCGUGGGGAGCAAACAGGAUUAGAUACCCUUGUAGUC